UGCUGACAUGCAUCCACAGCUGCAUGUUGCGACACCACAGGAUGGCUAUGCACGACAUAGGGAUGAGGCAUUAGCUGGGGCGUUUGAAAUGUGUAGGUUGAUGGACGUAGAUGCCAGGACGAAUUUGAUGAGGAUUCGAGCGGGAUCUAUGAUGGAUAGGAAUGAGCAAGAGUUGGCCUGGACCCGAGUUUCA